GUUAGGUAGAGGCUAACCAAGGUUGCAACGGGUAACGGGGAAUCAGGGUUCGAUUCCGGAGAGGGAGCCUGAGAAACGGCUACCACAUCCAAGGAAGGCAGCAGGCGCGCAAAUUACCCAAUUCGGACACCGAGAGGUGGCGACGAGGAAUAUCAGGUCGUUUCCGUAAAAGGAUGCGACACUGGAAUGAGCACAAUUUAAGACAUUUGUCGAGUAACAACUGGAGGGCAAGUCUGGUGCCAGCAGCCGCGGUAAUUCCAGCUCCAGUAGUGUAAUCUAAAGUUGCUGCGGUUAAAACGCUCGUAGUUGAAUGACGCAGCCAUGGACAGUGAGUUGGCAUUUGGUAGCGUUAAAGCUGCAAUGACAAUAUGUGUUUACCGAGUCAAUCGGUGUAACGCUGUCGUUGUGGUGUUGCCAGUGUCGAACUGACACUGCCGUUGGCUGUCUACGUAGUGGGGAUGGCGGACAACCUUUAUUGUGUUGACCGUCGUGUCCUACUGAGUGUGCCUUGAAUAAACCAGAGUGCUCAAGACAGGCAUGUUGCUUGAAUGUUAAUAGCAUGGAACGAACAAACGUGAUUUACGUGAGCUAUUCAGCGCUGCAUGCGGGCCUAUGUUUGUGUGUAGUGCUGGUAGUUCACAGCACCAACCGCCACUGACGGACGUUGGUUUCCGUUUUUGGGGUGAUGAUUAAGACGAACGGUUGGGGGCGUUGGUAUUCGACCGCGAGAGGUGAAAUUCUUAGACCGGUCGAGGACCAUCAAAUGCGRAGGCAUUCGCCAAGACCGUUUCGAUUGAUCAAGAGCGAAAGUGAGAGGUUCGAAGACGAUCAGAUACCGUCGUAGUUCUCACAGUAAACUAUGCCAACCCGGGAUCAGCUUUGAGCUAAUAUUACAACGCUGGUGGUUGGUCCCCCUGGGAAACCUUAAGUUUUUAGGUUCCGGGGGGAGUAUGGUUGCAAGGCUGAAACUUAAAGGAAUUGACGGAAGGGCACCACCAGGAGUGGAGCCUGCGGCUCAAUUUGACUCAACACGGGAAAACUUACCUGGUCCGCACAUCGAUAGGAUUGACAGACUGAUAGAUCUUUCGAGAUACGGUGAUUAGUGGUGCAUGGCCGUUCUUAGUUCGUGAAGUAAUUUGUCUGGCUAAUCCCGAUAACGAACGAAACCUCUGUCUCCAUUUAUGGGGUUGAUGCAAUGAAAAUGGCGUGUGUGUGUAACAGCAUACAUGGCGCUUUCAUGUUGGUAAAACGGUGAAGUCGAGUUUUGCUGGGGUUGGGGCAACCUAAUUUCAGUAAAGAGCGGCGUAGCUGGGAUUCCCAUCAAACUAACAGAGGCAGUUAGUGGUUUCGGCUGCUGCUGCUUACUGUGCUAUGGAGAGACUACCGCGUAUAUUAAAGGCGGUUGAAGUAGAGGCAAAAACAGGUCUGUGAUGCCCUAAGAUGCCCAGGGCCGCACGCGCGCUACAAUGACGACAACAGUGAGUAUUCUGGGUCGAAAGACUUGGACAAUCUUGUAAAUUGUCGUCGUGAAGUGGAUUGUGCUYUGCAACUAUCGCACAUAAAAUUGGAAUUCCUCGUAAGUACACGGAAUCAGCGUGUGCUGAUUGCGUCCCUGCCCUUUGUACACACCGCCCGUCGCUACUACCGAGUGAAUAGUGUCAUGAUGCGUUAGGACUGUGCGUCAGCUGCCUUUCGAGGCAAUUGAUGCUGGGAUUAACGUAGAAUGGCUCGAUUUCGAGGAAGUAAAAGUCGUAACAAGGUUUCCGUAG
rnacentral:rRNA from 1 species